rnacentral:rRNA from 1 species
GAUGAACGCUAGCGGCAGGCUUAAUACAUGCAAGUCGUGGGGCAGCAUGAGUAGCAAUACUUGAUGGCGACCGGCAAACGGGUGAGGAACACGUACACAACCUUCCUUCAAGCGGGGAAUAGCCCAGAGAAAUUUGGAUUAAUACCCCAUAAUAUAUUUGAUAAGGCAUCUUACUAAUAUUAAAGCUUCGGCACUUGAUGAUGGGUGUGCGGCUGAUUAGAUAGUUGGCGGGGUAACGGCCCACCAAGUCUACGAUCAGUAGCUGAUGUGAGAGCAUGAUCAGCCACACGGGCACUGAGACACGGGCCCGACUCCUACGGGAGGCAGCAGUAAGGAUAUUGGACAAUGGACGAAGUCUGAUCCAGCCAUGCCGCGUGAAGGAUUAAGGUCUCUGGAUUGU